GAGAUUCUGCAGGCAGUGAUCUAAGGAAAUGAUUUUAUCGUAUCAUCACGUCGUUUGCAUCUGGGCUACCACAGGUGUGUGAGACCGCGCAUGGUGUGGAGGAGCAGAGCGUGGUGGGAAGGUCUGGACUGGAAUUCCAGCUGUAAAUAGCACUCAUCAUCACCCCCAUCACCACAGCUGGUAAUGAAGAGAAAUGUGUCAGCUAAGGAGAAGAGUGGCCGCCAUGACAGUAAUGAAGAAAAAUGGACAGAAAUGCUGCAGGAAUGGCAGCUCCACUAUUUCCCAGUGUAAUUGGCACGAGGAGAGCUAGCUACUAUGUCUUGAGGCCACCAAAGCAGCUCUGUGGAGAUGCCCACAUGGAAAAUAGGUAAGACUUCUGGACAUACUAGGGAGGAACUGGUGACUCCAAAGAGUGAGCCUUCUUGGAAGCAGAUCCUCCAGCCUAUCCAAGCCUACAGAUAAUGCAGCCCUGGCUGGUAUCUUGACCAUAACCUCAUAAGAGACCCUGAGCCAGAAACCACCCAGCUAAGUCACUCUGGAAUUCCUGACUCUCAGAAGCUGUGAGAUAAUAAAUGGUGGUUGUUUUAAGCCACCUAAUCUUGGGGUAAUUCAUUAUAUGGCAAUAGAUAUUGAAUAUAGUAUAACUACAUAUGAGCUUCCACAGUAGCAUAGUCAUAAAGGAUCUGCCUGCCAAAGCAGGACAAGCGAGAGAUGUGGAUUUGAUA